AUGGGAAUAUGUAAGGGUGAAUGUUAAUGAAUUGGCUGUGGAGGAGUUGAGUGUCCCUGAGUACUUGAAAUUCAAGGAAGAUCUUGUUGAUGGAAGUUCCCAAAGUAACUAUGUGUUGGAAUUGGACUUUGAGCCCUUCAACGCCCACGUCCCUCGUCCCUCACUGUCGAAAUCCAUUGGCAAUGGAGUUCAGUUCCUCAAUCGUCACCUUUCCUCCAAAUUGUUCCAUGACAAGGAAAGCAUGUACCCACUGCUCAAUUUUCUCCGGGAACAUAAUUACAAGGGGACGUCGAUGAUGCUAAAUGACAGGCUGCAAAGCUUGAGUGCUCUCCAAUCAGCACUAAGGAAGGCAGAUGAAUAUUUGUUGGGUAUUCCAGAAGACACACCAUACUCGGAAUUCAAUCACCGAUUUCAAGUGCUUGGUUUGGAGAAG
rnacentral:misc_RNA from 1 species